CUACGGGGGGCAGCAGUGGGGAAUAUUGCACAAUGGACGAAAGUCUGAUGCAGCAACGCCGCGUGGAGGAUGACACAUUUCGGUGCGUAAACUCCUUUUAUAUAAGAAGAUAAUGACGGUAUUAUAUGAAUAAGCGCCGGCUAACUCCGUGCCAGCAGCCGCGGUAAUACGGGGGGUGCAAGCGUUACUCGGAAUCACUGGGCGUAAAGCGCAUGUAGGCGGACUUGUAAGUUGGAAGUGAAAUCCUAUGGCUCAACCAUAGAACUGCUUCCAAAACUGCUUGUCUAGAAUAUGGGAGAGGUAGAUGGAAUUUCUGGUGUAGGGGUAAAAUCCGUAGAGAUCAGAAGGAAUACCGAUUGCGAAGGCGAUCUACUGGAACAUUAUUGACGCUCAGAUGCGAAAGCGUGGGGAGCAAACAGGAUUAGAUACCCCUGUAGUC
rnacentral:rRNA from 1 species